GGUAUUUCGUCUUUUAUGUCAUCUUUCAAAUUAUUAGCAAUUUGAUGUCACUCGAGUGUAGAAGAAGAUAUUUUCACUAAGACUUGAUGAAUUAUAUUAGUAACAAGCUUGGUACAUACGAUUUGUAUGCACCAGCUUGAGGGAAAAUGAUAGAUAUAUUAUCUUUAUUUUAUAUUUAUCUUUUAUCUUUAGUUAGUUUGUUA
rnacentral:lncRNA from 1 species